rnacentral:rRNA from 1 species
AAAUAGAACUUUGCAGAGAGAGUUAACAGGGCGUGAAACCGUUGAUUGGCAAACGAAUCGGAGCCACGAAGUCGUUUCGUUGUUAGUUGGGCGGAGUUCAGUUCGCGCCGAAAGACGCGGGCGUAUUCUCACGCUCAUCCAACCUUGUAAGCGUACACUGCAACUUGUUAGACGAUCAGCUGUGGGCUGAGUGACGCAGAGCGAGCAAUCGCCCUGCGGCACGCAUUGUCUGUUCGCUCGCGGUAGUAGUAGCGCAGCUGACUUCGGUCUUUUUGUGUUGCUGGCCGCGUGGCGGGUGAACUACAGCUGAAUACUGACAAGCGAAAUGAAAACCGUUGAAAAACGUUAGAGAAAAAGCGGUUGGUCACAUGGAUGUUUACACGUUCGACUGUUAGGUCUAAGCUUGGCAUUUUUGAAUUCAGACCUGCUUGCUACCAGUGGGGCAACUCCUGGUGCUUGUACGGCUUCUGUCUAAUCGGGUGUCGACUUGGCUUGGCAUCGUUCGGGCGUGAAACGAUUGAGCGUCCAUAUGAACUAAUCCGCAAUUUAAAUUGGCAGUGAGUAGGUCGGCUUUCCGAACGA